GGUUGAUCCUGCCAGUAGUCAUAUGCUUGUCUCAAAGAUUAAGCCAUGCAUGUCUCAGUACAAGCCAAAUUAAGGUGAAACCGCGAAAGGCUCAUUAAAUCAGUUAUGGUUCCUUAGAUCGUACCCACAAUUACUUGGAUAACUGUGGUAAUUCUAGAGCUAAUACAUGCAAACAGAGCUCCGACCGGAGACGGAAGGAGUGCUUUUAUUAGAUCAAAACCAAUCGGUGGCGGGCUUGCUCGUCAUCGUACAACUUGGUGACUCUGAAUAACUUUACGCUGAUCGCACGGUCAUCGCACCGGCGACGCAUCUUUCAAAUGUCUGCCUUAUCAACUGUCGAUGGUAGGUUCUGCGCCUACCAUGGUUGUAACGGGUAACGGGGAAUCAGGGUUCGAUUCCGGAGAGGGAGCCUGAGAAACGGCUACCACAUCCAAGGAAGGCAGCAGGCGCGCAAAUUACCCACUCCCGGCACGGGGAGGUAGUGACGAAAAAUAACGAUACGGGACUCAUCCGAGGCCCCGUAAUCGGAAUGAGUACACUCUAAACCCUUUAACGAGGAUCAAUUGGAGGGCAAGUCUGGUGCCAGCAGCCGCGGUAAUUCCAGCUCCAAUAGCGUAUAUUAAA
rnacentral:rRNA from 1 species